rnacentral:rRNA from 1 species
UACAGAGGGUGCAAGCGUUGUUCGGAAUCAUUGGGCGUAAAGAGCGCGUAGGCGGCCGUGUAAGUCCGACGUGAAAUCUGGAGGCUCAACCUCCAGCGGUCGUUGGAAACUACCCGGCUAGAGUCCGGAAGAGGAGAGUGGAAUUCCUGGUGUAGCGGUGAAAUGCGCAGAUAUCAGGAAGAACACCGAUGGCGAAAGCAGCUCUCUGGGACGGUACUGACGCUGAGGCGCGAAAGCGUGGGGAGCGAACAGG